AUUAAACCGCUGCCUUAAGUUUUCUGUCCUCCAGUAUGUACAAAAAAACUGUCAUCAUAGAGUUGGACUCUGUUGCUCUGUCCACCACCUCUGACUGCCUGAAAAUAAUGAAGACUUUCAGUAGUGCAUGAGUGAAAAUGUCUUUAUUGAGGCUGAAGAACGUUUAGGAUUGUUGUGUUUUGUCCACAGAGCUGAAUGAUUUUUGUUAUUAUUUCAAACACUCUUUUCUCUGGUGCUGAUUUACUGUGAAGAGAUGAACUCACUCCUGCUCCUGCGUCUCUUCCAGGGCUCCUUCUUGAUCACUCAGGCUGUGGCUCAGGCUCUGGUGGCCUGUGGAGCACCCAAAGGAUCCAUCAUCACCGUGGGCAGCAUCGUAGGAAAGUGAUCAUCCGUCCAUCCAUCCACCUUGUGCUCGUAGCCAAUAAAGGGUUAAAUGGUUCUUGGAUCCAUGUGUUUGAAUGUUCACACCAGCUGGAGGUUCACUGGUUCAGCAUUUUAAAGACAUUCACUCACACUCAUUACUUUUAGUGAUCCUUUUUUACGACUUCUUUGAUCGAAUGUCGCCUCCACAAACUCUGAAUUAUUAAUCAGUCGUCUUUAAAUCGUCUACAAAAGGUCGGAGAAAUGCACGGAUUGAAAACAAGCUGGUGAGGAUGGAAACAAUCAAAACACCAAACAUGACAGGAACCUCAAACAUGUUCACACAACCACACAGGGUUAGAAACAAACACACACCUGAAUCCUGAUUCUCUGCACCUGUUCACCUGUCACUCCCCUUUCUAGCUGCGUGUGGCUGAUUACCCAUGAUGCCCAGGUGCAAAGGUGACGUAGCAGCAGCAGCAAUAAUAACCAAACUCAGCACACACACUAUAGCACACAUCAAACUGGCUCCAACAAAUGUUUUUAUAUCAUCACAAUGUAGAUGUUACUGAACUGAGCGGCUAAUUUAAAUAUCUUUGUUCAGACGUUUCAGAACAUGUGAAUAAUCCGUCUAUAAGAUCAACAAAGUAAAGAUCAUAAAGUUUAUUGGAAUCAAACUAAAUGUUCCCACAAUGGUAGCUACAGCUGUGUAAGUGUUUCCAUGAAUGUUGAAGUGAAGAAACACACAGACAUUUGGAGUGUGAGGGACUUUAUUGAACAGAUCAUUUACAGUACAAAGGUAUGAAACAGCAGCUCAACACCACUAGUUAACUUAACCCAACACAGGAAGUGAUUCUGAGAAUUCAUCUUCCACUUCCAUUCACAAAACUCAGAGAGAAAACAUCCCUCGUUCCUGAACACGAGCAGGAAUUA